rnacentral:rRNA from 1 species
UACGUAGGGGGCAAGCGUUAGGCGGAAUCACUGGGCUUAAAGCGUGUGUAGGCGGAUGCCUAAGUACCUUGUGAAAUCCCGCGGCUCAACCGUGGAACUGCUUGGUAUACUGGGUGUCUUGAGCCAUCUAGGGGCUACCGGAACAAAUGGUGGAGCGGUGAAAUGCGUAGAUAUCAUUUGGAACGCCAAUGGUGAAAACAGGUAGCUGGGGAUGUGCUGACGCUGAGACACGAAAGCCAGGGGAGCAAACGGG